rnacentral:misc_RNA from 1 species
CCGAGUUUACAACUCCCAAACCCCUGUGAACAUACCUAUAUCGUUGCUUCGGCGGGAUCGCCCCGGCGCCUUCGGGCCCGGACCCAGGCGCCCGCCGGAGGACCCCAAACUCUCUGUUUUUUGUGAGUAUCUUCUGAGUAAACAAGCAAAUAAAUUA